UCUCUUCCAGAAUAGGAAAACUUGAUAGAAGACUUAUUGCAAAUGCUAUAGUAUUUAUGACUCUUAGGGAAGUUCUCCUCCAGAAUCCUAAAAAACAUCUUGGGCAAAUGACCGCUCUAAGAGAAAA